AGGGCGCAUGCGCAGAGCGUCCCCGCGGCCGUCGGGGCUGGGACUAGCGGCGGGGCGGCCCGGUUCCCCGGGCCUCUUUGCCGCCGGGCUUGCGGCCAGCCGGGUGUGCGGAGGGGUGCGGUUUUGGUGCUGCUGUUCCCGCCGAGCUUCUCAGGCGAGGAUAACCCAAAAUCAUUGCGAGACAUGAGGCGGGAGGGAAAGGCACGGCCUCCGCCGCUGAGGUGAGGUGACCGACCGGCGGGCGCGGCCUGCUAGCGGGACUGCCCGCCGGGGGCGGGGUGCCGCCGGGGGCCGGGGCUCCCUUGUGCCUGGAGACGUAGAGCCGCGGGUCCAAGAGGUGAGAAAGCUUAAAAACGCCCUUGGCCCCCCGCCCCGGGGGUUGCCUGGCCCGGCUGCUGCGUGUGGGAGAGCCCAGGCCGGUGGCUUGGCCCAGACCGCCCGCCCCCCACUACGGUUAGGUGCGUGGAGCUCGGCUCUGAGGCACAGAAAUACAGCUGAUGGUUCUUUGCAGGCCCAGACAUCUCUUCAUCAGUUUAUAUUCCAGCACUCUGGAAAAAGAAUUGCUGCUUCCCAGGAGAAAAUGAAAACCUUUAUAAGUUUGGUGCUGGUAAAGACCCUGAAGACCCCCUGCAUGUAGGAGACAAACGUGCGUGUUGUAAUUGUUAUUACAGAAAAUAAAAAUCAGUAGGCACAAACUUAGAUACUUUGAUCACUUGGUAACAGUCGGUCCAAAACCGAAACGCAGCCAAGAAC
rnacentral:lncRNA from 1 species